rnacentral:rRNA from 1 species
UGGGGAAUAUUGGACAAUGGGGGCAACCCUGAUCCAGCAAUGCCGCGUGUGUGAAGAAGGCCUUCGGGUUGUAAAGCACUUUUAUCGGGAACGAAACAUUGUCGGUGAAUAUCCGGCAAGACUGACGGUACCCGAGGAAUAAGCACCGGCUAACUUCGUGCCAGCAGCCGCGGUAAUACGAAGGGUGCAAGCGUUACUCGGAAUUACUGGGCGUAAAGGGUGCGUAGGUGGUUUGUUAAGUCUGCUGUGAAAUCCCCGGGCUCAACCUGGGAAUGGCAGUGGAUACUGGCAAGCUGGAGUGCGGUAGAGGGUAGUGGAAUUCCCGGUGUAGCAGUGAAAUGCGUAGAGAUCGGGAGGAACACCAGUGGCGAAGGCGGCUACCUGGACCAGCACUGACACUGAGGCACGAAAGCGUGGGGAGCAAAC